AGCAGGGUUGGAAUUGUGACAUUAAAAAAAUCAAUAAUUGCUAAAAGAAAUUUAAUUUUUAGUUCUAAAUAAAUUCUAACUGCAUUUAGGACGUUUUUUACUUACUUUAUGUCUCUUCCACGAUGUUAUUUCUCUCCAACAACAUAGGUUACAAUGAUAUUAGCAUGACCAAUUAUGCAAAUUAGGUGAUGACGUCAUUUAGCGACUUCUAGCGACUUUUAGGACAACCAAUAGCGAUUUUCCUUACUGAGGAGUUGGCAACACUGUUUCAAAGUAGCGACACACGGAAAGAAGAAAUGUGAUGGCAGAGUCUACGCUAGAGCUGAAGAGGAUGAACACCUUUGGCCUCACAUACAAAGAAUGUUUCGCUUAAAAGCAGCACAAAAGAACAGCUAUGUCUGCAGUGUCGGUGUCUUCAGUCAGAGCCAAAACAAACCAACUUUUCAGUGUGAAACAACUCAACUCGUAACCUGAUGAAACGGUCUCCACUUCAUCAGACAUCACCUAGACACAGAGCUGGAUGAGACCAGCACAAACAGCAGCCUAACCGGCGAAGAUGAUGGAUCCAUGGGGUCAGGAAAGCCAGAAGCAGAGGAACUGGAGAGGUACCUUUCAUGUCCAUUCACUGGAGGUGUGGAUCUAUUGCAUGGCUUUCCUCAGAUCAAGAAGCUGUCGAUCAAAGUCAAUACAGCUCUUCCUGCAUCUGCAGCCUGUGAGAGACUUUUUAGUCAUGCAGGACUCCUGUUCACUGCCAAACGGUCACAGCUUCACAGCAAGAACCUUGAGAGCAAACUGCUGUCUGAUUUGAUGUUACAAUUAAAAAUGUUUGUGUUUUUAUCUGAAGAGUUUAUAAAUAUCUGGUUUCCACUGUAUAUUUGAUGAAUGUCAGCACAAAGAGGGAGAGAGAGGAACAAGAGCAGGUGAGACACACAUGUUAGUCAAAUGGUUGUUUACCAAAAGUAUCACCGUAUCACAGGAACUCAUGUAUCUCGUACCUAGUGUUUCUU
ensembl:lncRNA